GCAGUCUGAGGUAUGAACGCCUAAUUGCGGUACGUUAAGUAUUCGUUAUCCACUCGCAAUAAAUGUAAAUACAUUUAUGAGGAUUAUAGUAUAGCAGAUCGUCUAUUAAUUUUAUUGUAUGCAGAUCAGCUCUAUAACUGGCACACUUAAGGUCAUUGGUUGUCCCAGGGUACCCAGAAAAUAAAUGUGGAACACAAGAUGGUUACUUUCAAGAGAAGUUUGAGGAUACAAGUAUAUUCAGGAAAGAAGCUUAUUUGGAUAGGUGUAAACUGAACAUGAAGGCUUAAUGGAUGCUUUGACAAAUGGCCUAAGCAUUCAAGGAAUAAAUACUUGACUGAAGCAGGGAUCAUAUGUGAUAAAUGCCACAAAACUGUCAAAGUGCUCUACCAACAGGCGUGGUGCAGGACAAGUCAGCCAUGUUCCAGUGUCAACAGUAGACUUUACAUUGCCAUGGAUACCAACAGUUGGAGGAACUUCCAACCUAUGAUGUUUCAUCAGGAGUUCAAGCGAACAAAACUUGUGUUAAUUCACAUAAACCAUAAAACCAUUUCAUACAGUGAUAAUGUAUUUUUUAAAAAUCUCUUUAUUAAAAUGUACAGUUUUGUAAGAUAUAUUGGUUUGAAAUAAAUUUAUAGGUUGUAGAGCUUCUGCUACUUUUACAACGUUUAAAGUUCUGAUUUGGGUGGCAGGAAAACUUUCCAUUUAAAACAAAAUAAAAUCAUGAACAGAAAUCAUAACGAAGAUAAAAAAAUAUGAAGCCCAUGAUUUGUUUAUUUAAUUUUCUGUUUAUUGUCACACAUAUUGUUUGAAAGCUAAAAAAAAUCUGUUAAUGUUAAUCAAAAUCUUUUUAAGAGGAAGGAAAAGCAACACCUUAAAAUCUUACUCAAAAUGAAAAAAAUGUGGAUUCUUUUGUCUGACUUUCUACAAAAAGCAAAAUAUUUUCUGAUAAAUGAAAAUUUAAGAGGCCCAUGCCUGGGUCAACAAUUUCUUAAUCUUAAAGUAGCAUGUUUUAUCAUUUGUACAUUAAAGGUAUAGAAGAUAAAGGUAUAAUAUGUGAAAUCUGUACCUAGUACUAGCACAAGUUCACUUCAUUACAUGAUCAAAUUUCAACAGUAAUAAAAAUUUAGUUUGCUAAAGUCAUAAUUCACAAAUCUUUAUAACACAGACACAGUAAGCAGAAUGUCGUUGAACAAUAUUCCAAGUUCACAUAACAUAUUUUUCUAAUAAUGCAAUGUUUUGUUAACUUGUGGAGAAAUAAGAUACUAAAAUUCUGUCCUACAUCACUUUUAUUUGUUACAAAGUAAAAUGUUCUUCUCUUUCUCAUGUAAACUAACAAUUCAUGGAUUUAGAGGAAACAAUUUUUUUUUGCAGAACACACAAAGAAAUAUGAAUCUUUAAUAUAAUCAACAAUUAUAAUUUUCUUACAACAAUAACAUGAACAAAAUAAAGCACUUAUGUACAUAUAAUUUCAGAUCUCUGCAGUUUGUUGAUAAAAACUGAUAAGUUCUAUUGGUGUCAAGUCUUUUAUUUAUGCUGCAAAGUCUUCAAUUAAUUUUUUUAAUAAAUUUAACAUCCAUUUUACCAUUUUAUGGUAUAAGUAUCUACAUUUAUAUUAUCACAACCAUCAGAUACAACCCACAACACAACACAAAUACAACAUAAGUUGUACUUGAUGGUUUAGGUAGUAUAAAUGGAGGUAAUGUUUUAUAAUAACUCUGAAGUUGGGGUAUUGUACGUAUCAUUAUAAAUAUGUUUACAGCAUUGUAUUAUAUUCAUAUUCCUUUUUAUAUUUAUGUUACCCUUUGAUUAUUUCAUCUGCCAGAUUGUAUGGAUGAACUUUUUCUUAUUUCACAUUUUGAGAAUUUCCGUAAUAAUCAGAUUUGGUCCACAACAUGUGA